ACAGCGCGGAGACUGGAGCCCUAGAGCCCGCUCGAGCAUCAGAGUGUCCAGUAGUCCCCCCUAUCCCGGCCCUGCGCCCCUCCGGCCAUAGCUGCGGAGCCGCUGUCUAGAGCCCUAGCCUCGCCAUCAUGAGAGUCCUGCUGGCAUGCCUGCUCCUCUGCGCCCCGGUCGUGAGCGACUCCGAGGGCAGCCAUGAACUUCGUCAAGUGUCUGGUGCGUCGAAGUGUGGCUGUCUGAAUGGAGGAAAAUGUGUGUCCUACAAGUACUUCUCCAACAUUCAACGAUGCAACUGUCCAAAGAAAUUCCGAGGGGAACACUGUGAGAUAGAUACCUCGAAAACCUGCUAUCAGGGGAAUGGUCACUCUUACCGAGGGAAGGCCAACACUGACACCAGCGGCCGGCCCUGCCUGGCCUGGAACUCUGCUGCCGUCCUUCUGAAAACGUACCAUGCCCACAGACCUGAUGCCCUUCAGCUGGGACUGGGGAAACACAAUUACUGCAGGAACCCAGACAAUCAGAGAAGGCCCUGGUGCUAUGUGCAGGUUGGCCUAAUGCAGGUUGUCCAGGAGUGCAUGGUGCACAACUGCUUUUUUGAAAAAAUUGUCCUCUCUCCUCCAGAAAAGUUACAGUGCGGCCAGAAGUCUCUGAGGCCCCGCUUUAAGAUUGUUGGGGGAGAAUCCACCACCAUCGAGAACCAGCCUUGGUUUGCAGCCAUCUAUAGGAGGCACCGUGCAGGCUCUGUCACCUACGUGUGCGGUGGCAGCCUCAUCAGUCCCUGCUGGGUGGUCAGCGCCACACACUGCUUCAUUGAUUACCAAAAGAAAGACUACAUUGUCUACCUGGGUCGGUCAAAUCUUAACUCCAUCACGCCUGGCGAGAUGCAGUUUGAGGUGGAAAAGCUCAUCUUACAUGAGGACUACAGUGCUGACACCCUUGCUCACCACAAUGAUAUUGCCUUGUUGAAGAUCCGUUCCAGCACGGGCCAGUGUGCACAGCCAUCCCGGUCCAUACAGGUCAUCUGCCUGCCCCCAGCGAAUGGGGAUGCCCAUUUUGGCACAAGCUGUGAGAUUACUGGCUUUGGAAAAGAGAAUCCCUCUGACUAUAUCUAUCCAGAGCAGCUGAAAAUGACUGUUGUGAAGCUGAUUUCCCACGAGGAGUGUCAGCAGCCCCACUACUAUGGCACUGAAGUCACCAACAAAAUGCUGUGUGCGGCUGACCCAGAGUGGAAAACAGAUUCCUGCCAGGGAGACUCAGGGGGACCGCUGGUCUGCUUCACCCAAGGCCGCAUGACUCUGACUGGGAUUGUGAGCUGGGGCCGUGAAUGUGCCAUGAAGGAAAAGCCAGGCGUCUACACAAGGGUCUCAAGCUUCCUGCCCUGGAUCCACACUCACAUUGGGGGAGAGAAUGGCCUAGCCCUCUGAGGGCCCCCAGAGAACCAAGGGAAGAGACGGGUACCACCCACUCCCACAGUGACCGUCAUUUUUGCAGUAGGGCUAUCUGCACAGCUAUAUAUAACGAAGAGACUGAGGAAGAUGAGCUCUGCAGAGGUGGUUUUGCUUGUGCUGCCCAUCAGGGAUUGCAUAGGUGUAUUUUGUGGAAGCUGAAACCUGCUAGGAGAGAAAAGGCAAGAUGUGAAGCUAAGGAGCCCAGCCCAGGCUGAGUUGCUGCUCAGCCUCUGCAUACCCCGCAGGGGCCAAUAAAGAUCUUGUUCCAACAUGAACAGUGCCAGCAUCAAGGCUCACAGACACUGAAAACAGGAAGUAUGAGCCCCACUGGUGGGUUGAGCAAUGCACUGCUAUACAAUCUUCAGACCAUUUCCCAGCCACCUGACCGACCCCCAGCCAUCUGCUACCUCUUCCCAGUCACAUACCUCACUCCGGGCUAGCAGGGAUCAGCCACUUCUCCAGCAACCAGUUUCAAGGCUCCAGAUACGACCCUGUCACUCACUUUAGGGACUGCCUUUUUCUAGUGCUCCCUAAGUGUUGGACAUUGUGCUAAAUUCUUCACCUAUUAUCUGGUUUAAUCCUUAUAACAGUCCUAUGGGGAAGGUGCCAUCCUUAGCCCCAUUUAACAGCAGAGAAAAUGGAGAUACAGAGAGAUUAGGUGACCUGCCCAAGAAAAUGUGGCUGGUAAGUAGCAGAGCAAGGGUUCAGACCCAGGCAGCUGGCUCCAGAGUGUACAGGCCCAGCACUCUCAACAGGGCCCAACCUGAGGGAAGGUUAGCAGCCCUCUUUUCGAGCUCCCUACUUAGCAGGGAGGCUAAGUGUAUCAGAGUUUCAACCCUGGCCUAGAUUAUAAUUCUUUCCUCUUAAAAGAUUCCCAGGCCAAGUGAGCAAAUCACACCUCAGCCACCAGUUUCAAAGUAAAACUUUACCCUUCUCAAGCAAACCUCAGCCUUUUUGGUUGAAACCUGAUUUCAUUGAAGUGGUUUUUGUUUUCACCAGAACCCCUCCUUCUGAAAUAGUCUGUGGCUCAUUCUAUUAUCAGGACUCAACUUGAUUUCCACUCAUGCUCUGCCUUUCCCAAGCCAACCCCGCACAGCAACAACACCCCUGAAUACACCCCUCCACCCUCACCCCUGUUUGUCCACCUUCCUCCCCAGCUGCUGACAUUUGAGCCUGCCCUUUGAAUCACAGUGAGAGGAGUUUACUGACGUGUUCUUUAAAUAACAGUACUCCUGAGGUAUACUAAAUCACAUACCAUACAAUUCACCCAUUUAAAGUGUGCAACUCAAUGAUUUUUAGUAUAUUCACAGAGUUGUGCAACUAUCACCACAAUCAAUUCUACAAUAUUUUCAUCACCUCAAAAAGAAACCCCAUACCGGGGAAGAGGGAUAAAUCAGGAGUUUGGGAUUAACACACACACUACUAUAUAUAAGAUAGAUAACCAACAAGGACCUACGGUAUAGCACAGGGAACUCUACACAAUAUUCUGUGACAACCUAUAUGAGAAAAGAAUCGGAAAAAGAAUGAAUAUAUGUAUAUGUAUAACUGAAUCACUUUGUACACCUUAAACUAAAACAACAUUGUAAAUCAACUAUAAUCCAAUAAAAUUUUUUAAAAAAGAAACCCCAUACCUAUUAGUAAUCACUCCGAUUUUCUCCCCAACCCCCUCAGCCCCUAAUCUACUUUCUGUCUCUAUGAGUUUGCCUAUUCUGGACAUUUCAUAUAAAUAGAAUCAUAUAACACCUAGUCUUUUGUGACUGACUUCUCUCCCUACCAUGUUUUCCAGUUUCAUCCAUGUUGCAGCCUGUGUUAGUACUGAUGCUGAGUUUUAAGUAGCAAAUUGGGAGAAAAGAUAGUCUAGGCCCCCUUCCGACCUUGCAGUCCCAUUGGGAGUCAUUCAACAACCUUAAAAGAAAUUUUUUUUUUUAAGGACCUUGACACCAGGCACCGUUUUAGAUGCUGGGGAUACAGGAAUGAAUAGGACAUAGUGCUAGUCCUCAAGGAGCUCACAACUUUGCAAAGGAGACAGAAUGAAGACCACAACUUAAUGUGAUAAAAAUGGUAACAUUUUUGCUGUAAUAAAAGUAUGUAUAAAUGUGUGGAACAAUGAUGAGGAAGCAAGUAAUUCUGCCUUGGCAAAUCAAGGGAGACUUUCCAGAGGAGGUGAUAUUUUACCUGGGCCUGCAAAGAUGCAAAGAAAUUUGCUAAACAAGGAGGAGAAAGGCAUUCCAGGCAUAGGGAAGAUAAUGAAGGCAUGAAAAGAAAAGCAAGGUGCUCUCAAGAAGCGAUGAAUAAACUGUUGUGGUAGAGGAAAGAGUUGGAGGGGCAGUGAACAAGCAUGGAGUAGGGGUGGAAGUAAGGAGCUGCUGGGAUCCAGCAGGUGAGGACUCUUAGGCAGGGCUGAUACUUAGUAGCAGGUGCCAGUACUGCUCAAUCUCUAAAACACUGAUGUCAAGAUCCACACACACCCCACCCCUGACAUGGUCCCCUGCCACCCAGCCUCUUUCCAGUUCUUCAUAAUCCAGCAACCACAGGGUUAAUGCCUGGCAGAGGGCCCCUAGCAGGGGCCUCUGAGAUUCCUUCCCUCCUCCAGCUGCCUUCCAUGUGUUGGUACUGGAAGUCCUGCUAGUUAAAUAUUUUGAAUAUCAUUUCUUGCCCUCAGGUAGUAAAUCUAGAAGGUUAAUUAAGGUCAAGGAGGCAUAAAAGGUUUUUUUUCUCUGAACUAAAAGUUUCCACCCAAUUGUAAAAGUAACUAUAAAAGUAAAAUGCUCCCAUAGCAUUCCACAGCCAUUUUUUUAAAUUAAAUUUUUUUGGAGUAUAGCUGCUUUACAAGGUUGUGUUAGUUUCUGCUGUGCAGCAAAGUGAAUCAGUUAUAUGUAUACAUAUAUCCACUCUUUUUAGAUUUCCUUCCCAUUUAGUUCACCACAGAGUACUGAGUAGAGUUCCCUGUACUAUACAGUAGGCUCUCAUUAGUUACCUAUUUUAUACAUAGUAGUGUAUAUAUGUCAAUCCCAAUCUCCCAGUUCAUCCCGCCUCCACCCCCGCAGCCAUUGUUAACAUCUCUAGCUUCUUGAGUCUCCUUUGCCAUCUCAACCUCCUCUACUUGGCCCUGAAUAUUGGGUUCCCCAAGACCAGACCCUAGACCAGCUCCUCUUCCCACCCUAAACUUUCUCCCACACAGUCUUAUUCACACCCAGGCUUAAAUGACCAUCAAUCAACAGUUGAUUUACAAUGAUUAUCUCCAGCCAGACCUCUCCGCUGAGAUCCAGACUCUUACUUUCCAUUGUCUACUUGACGUCCUCUUUUGGUUUUCACAUAUAGGGCACUUCAAACUCAACCUGCUCCGAACCAGCCCUGUCUUCAGGCCCCAACCCGAUGGGCUUCCUGCAUUACUCUCUGUCUUGGGUGAUGGCACCACUUCCAUUCACAUCCAGAAACCUAAGAGUCAUCCAGAUGCUUCUCUCCUUUCACCACGCACCCCCUACCAUCCCAUCCAUCUCCAAAUCCUGGCAAUUUGCCUAAGAGUUCUUUCAAUUUUAUUUAUUUAUUUAUUUAUUUAUUUUUGGCCCCGUUGGGUCUUCGUUGCUGCGCGUGGGCUUUUCUCUAGUUGCGGCAAGCGGGGGCCACUCCUCGCAGCAGUGUGCAGGCCUCUCAUCGUGGUGGCCUCUUCUGUUGUGGAGCAUGGGCUCCAGGUGGGCGGGCUUCAGCAGUUGUGGUGCACGGGCCUAGUUGCUCCAUGGCAGGUGGGACCUUCCCGGACCAGGGCUCGAACCCGUGUCCCCUGCAUUGGCAGGAGGAUUCUUAACCACUGCGCCACCAGGGAAGCCCUGCUUAAGAGUUCUUGAGGUCAUCCAAGUCUCUCCAUUUUCACCACCACCAUUAGCUGAACCCAUCCCACCAUCAACUCUUGCCUAGACCACCACAAUAGCUUCCCAACUGGCCUCCUCCAUUGACUAUCUCUCUUUUCACUCCCCCCAUACCCCUACCAAUCCAUUCUGCUCAUCUGAAGCAAGAAAUCUUUGAAAAUGCAAAUGUGCUUAAUAACUCCCAUUGAUCCUGGCUGGCUAGCUUGGGCAGGGUCCAGCCCCAACCUCCUCUUUAGCUCCACCUGGCAACAACCUCUCCCAGGCUUGCCCUACUCAGCCAUUCUCUUACUCAUCAGCUCCUCUCUCACCACAGGGCCAUUGUUAGUCAUGUUCCUUCUGCGUGGGACUUCCUUUGACUGGUUAAGUUCUUCCUCAUGCUUCAGAGAUCUCUUUGCCAAGGAAGUGUUUCCUGGGUUGCCUCUAUCCAUAGUAGGUCUCACUAUUUUGUCUACAAUCUCAUUAUACUAUGUAUCACCUCUUUGAUGCACUUGUCACUGUUGCAAUUUUACUUCUGCUGCAUCACUAUUUGAUUAAUAUUUGCUUUUCCCCACCAAAAUGUAACCUCCAUGAGGGACAGUGUGUGGUUUUUUUUGGUUUUUAAAAUUAGUUAUUUAUUAACUUUUGUCUGCAUUGGGUCUUCGUUGCUGUGCUCCAGCUUUCUCUAGCUGUGGUGAGUGGAGACUACUCUUCAUUGUGGUGCACAGGCUUCUCAUUGUGGUGGCUUCUCUUUGGCUUCUCUUGCUGCAGAGCAUGGGCUCUAGGCACGCGGGCUUCAGUAGUUGUGGCUCGCGGGCCCUAGAGCGCAGGCUCAGUAGUUUGUGGUGCACAGGCUUAGUUGCUCUGCAGCAUGUGGGAUCUUCCUGGACCAGGGGUCGAACCUGUGUCCCACGCAUUGGCAGGCAGGUUCUUAACCACUGCACCACCAGGGAACCCCUGACAGUGUGUUUUGACCACCACUAAAUCCCCAGCAUCAAGCAUGAUGUCUAGAAUAUGGCAGAUAUUUAAUAAAUGGUUACUGAAUGAAUGCAUUCUGAGGUUUCUGUUUUUUCUCUGCUUCUUUUUUACAUAGUUGUGUUCACACUCUAUACAUAAUUUUGUAUCUUGUCCUUUGCUUUUGUCAUAUUUUGUCAUAAGCCAUUUCCUAUGGUAUUGCAACUCUCUCCAAGAGAGAGAUUAUUUACAAUGUAGUUAAUAACACCCAUCCAACCUACUUUUCUGGAUUGAAGCAUCAUAAAGUAUAUGAAAGUUAUUUGUAAUCUAUAUGUACAUAUGAGACAGUAUUAUUUGCAUUUAAAAGGAAAUGGGGGUGAAAUUUCUCUCUGGUGCCCUCCCCACCAUUGCCCUUAUACCUCUUUUCCUCAGGCAUUUUUUUUUUUUUUU